UCCCCGGUAGCUCAGCGGUAGAGCAGGUGACUGUUAAUCACUUGGUCGGUGGUUCGAAUCCGCCCCGGGGAGCCA
rnacentral:tRNA from 1 species